rnacentral:rRNA from 1 species
AUGAACGCUGGCGGCGUGCCUUAAGCAUGCAAGUCAAGGGGGCCCGCAAGGGCAACCGGCGGACGGGUGAGUAAUGCGUAGGAAUCUACCUUAAAGUUGGACAUAGCUCGGCGAAAGUCGGGGUAAUUUCCAAUGUGGUCGCAAGACUAAAGCAGCAAUGCGCUUUAAGAUGAGCCUGCGUCCUAUCAGCUAGUUGGUGGGGUAAUGGCCUACCAAGGCGACGACGGGUAGCUGGUCUGAGAGGAUGGUCAGCCACAAUAGCACUGCGACACGGGCUAUACAUCUACGGAUGGCAGCAACUGGGAAUAUUCGGCAAUGGGCGAAAGCCUGACCGAGCGACGCCGCGUGGGAGGAUUGAAGGCCUUCGGGUUGUAAACUCCUUUUGUAGGGGAAGAUUAUGACGGUACCCUACGAAUAAGCACUUGCUAACUACGUGCCAGAAGCCUCGGUAAUACGUAGAGUGCGAGCGUUAUCCGGAUUUACUGGGCGUAAAGAGUUGCGUAGGCGGUUUAAUAGAUCUCACUUGAAAGCCCAUGGCUCAACCAUGGUUUUGGAUGAGAUAUCAUUAGACUGGAUGGUAUGAGAGGGUGCUGGAACUGACGGUGUAGCAGUGAAAUGCGUUGAUAUCGUCGGGAACACCAAAGGCGUAGGCAGGCACCUGGCAUACUCAUGACGCUUAGGCACGAAAGCUGGGGGAGCGAAAGGGAUUAGAGACCCCUGUAGUCCCAGCCGUAAACGAUCCUCGCUAGAUUCUCGUCGUCGAUUUAUCGCCGAUGAGUGUCGAAGCUAACGCGUUAAGCGAGGCGCCUGGGGAGUACGAGCGCAAGCUUAAAACUCAAAGGAAUUGACGGGGACCUGCACAAGCAGUGGAGCGUGUGGUUUAAUUCGAUACAAAACGAAAAACCUCACCAGGGUUUGACAUGUAGCUGCAAGCGCACGGAAACGUGUGAUCUUCGAGAGUGCUACACAGAUGCUGCAUGGCUGUCGUCAGCUCGUGGCGUGAGCUGUUUCCUUAAGUGGAUCAACGAGCGCAACCCGCACCGUAUGUUAAAUAAUCCAUGCGGAACUGCCUCAUUUUUUGAGGAGGAAGGCGCGGAUGAUGUCAAGUCAGCACGGCUCUUACACCCUGGGCUACACGCACACUACAAUGGCGAACAACAACGAGCUGCAAGUCGGUAACGGCAAGCUAAUCUCUGGAAUUUCGCCUCAGUUCAGAUUGAGGGCUGCAAUUCGCCCUCAUGAAGUUGGAAUUGCUAGUAAUCGCGGAUCAGCAAGCCGCGGUGAAUACGUUCUCAGGUCUUGUACACACCGCCCGUCAAGGCAGGAAAGUUGGGGGUAGACGAACUCGGUGUACGCCGAGGAGUCUAACACCAGCGAUCAGGCUU